CGGUGGUGGAUUAGUGGCGAACGGGUGAGUAACACGUGGGCAAUCUGCCCUUCACUCUGGGACAAGCCCUGGAAACGGGGUCUAAUACCGGAUAAUACUCCUGCCUGCAUGGGUGGGGGUUGAAAGCUCCGGCGGUGAAGGAUGAGCCCGCGGCCUAUCAGCUUGUUGGUGGGGUAAUGGCCUACCAAGGCGACGACGGGUAGCCGGCCUGAGAGGGCGACCGGCCACACUGGGACUGAGACACGGCCCAGACUCCUACGGGAGGCAGCAGUGGGGAAUAUUGCACAAUGGGCGAAAGCCUGAUGCAGCGACGCCGCGUGAGGGAUGACGGCCUUCGGGUUGUAAACCUCUUUCAGCAGGGAAGAAGCGCAAGUGACGGUACCUGCAGAAGAAGCGCCGGCUAACUACGUGCCAGCAGCCGCGGUAAUACGUAGGGCGCAAGCGUUGUCCGGAAUUAUUGGGCGUAAAGAGCUCGUAGGCGGCUUGUCACGUCGGAUGUGAAAGCCCGGGGCUUAACCCCGGGUCUGCAUUCGAUACGGGCUAGCUAGAGUGUGGUAGGGGAGAUCGGAAUUCCUGGUGUAGCGGUGAAAUGCGCAGAUAUCAGGAGGAACACCGGUGGCGAAGGCGGAUCUCUGGGCCAUUACUGACGCUGAGGAGCGAAAGCGUGGGGAGCGAACAGGAUUAGA
rnacentral:rRNA from 1 species